GUGGCAGACGAGAUAAUCGCCCGAGGUAAGCCCGCCUACGCUAAAAGCUUCGGCGAGGCGCUUCGCGGAGGAAAGUCCGAACACCCACUUACUUUUGUAAGUUAAAAUGGUAGCGGGUAACGCCCGUCCACAGUAAUGUGAGAGGUGCGACAAGAGACGUCUUAUUCCGAAAGGAAUGGAAAGCUAGACCCUAAUCACUUGAUUAUUGAUCAAAUGACAAAGCUUAGUCCCGAUCGAGGGUAAUAAGAUCGGGGGUGAAACGGCUAAAUCCUUACCUGGGUGCAAGGCCAAACCUAUUUCGCAAGAGAUAGACGAAAAGUGGGCCGCUAGAUCCCGAGAGUAAUCGAGGGACAAGAUAAAUGGUUAUCAAAUACAGAAUUCGGCUUAUUGUCUGCCACGCAA
rnacentral:RNase_P_RNA from 2 species